GUUUGAUCCUGGCUCAGGGUGAACGCUAUUAGUAUGCUUUACACAUGCAAGUCGAACGGAACACUUCCGUGGCGUCCGGGUGAGUAGAUGUGCAGAAUGUUACCUUUUAGUUUAGAACAAAGUAUUCUUUGAAUAUUAAAUUCUGAAUAUAUUGAAAGGUUUUUUAAAAUCCGCUAAAAGAUAGGUCUGUGCAAGAUUAGGUUGUUGGUAUAUGUAAUAGCUUACCAAGCCUACGAUCUUUAGUUGGUCUUAGAGGAUGAUCAACCACAUUGGAACUGAAAUAAGGUCCAAGCUGAUUUUUUCGGCCAGCAGUGAGGAAUAUUGGACAAUGGACGAAAGUCUGAUCCAGCAAUACUAUCUGAAUGAUGACGGCGAAAUUCGUUGUAAAAUUCUUUCGUUAAUGAUGAUAAUGACAUUAUUUAAAGUAAGUUUUAGUCCCGGCUAAUACUCGUGCCAGCAGCCGCGGUAAUACGAGAGGGGCAAGCGUUAUCCGACAUGACUGGGCGUAAAGAGUUCGUAGACUGUACAAUAAGUUAGAUGUUAAAUUUUAAAGCUUAACUUUAUAACCACCAUUUAAUACUGUUGUGCUUUGAGUUUUAUACAGAAGAUUAUAAUUUUGUUUGUAAGAGUAAAAUCUUAUUAUAAACAAAGGAAUGCCAGCGGCGAAGGCGUAUCUUUAGUAAAGACUGACGUUGAGGGACGAAAGUAUAGGUAGCGAACAGGAUUAGAUACCCUGGUAGUCUAUACUGUAAAUGAUGAGUGCUGUAAUUUAAUGGUAAUAUUACUUUAGAUUUUUAAGCUAACGCGAUAAGCACUCCGCCUGAGGAGUACGGCCGCAAGGGUGGAACUCAAAGGAAUUGACGGGGGCUUAAAACUAGUGGUGGGGUAUGUGGUUUAAUGCGAUAAUCCGCGCAUAAUCUUACCAAUUCUUGACAUUUUAAUAACUUCUUUAAUCGUUUAUAAGAGCCA
rnacentral:rRNA from 1 species